AACUGCUUUUGUGAAAGAAACAGUGACUAACAGUGAUGAAGGUCCUACAUGUUUGAGAGAAACUUCAGUAACAAAAAAUGCUGAAGAUUUUAAGGGUUCUCCAGCAAGCAGUAAAGUAACAGGGGAUAGUUUAGACACUACCACUAAUUCACCACCAAUGGGAUUGAGGCAAAAGCGUCAAACUGAAUAUUAUCAAACUACACCAAAAA